AAAUUGAAGAGUUUGAUCAUGGCUCAGAUUGAACGCUGGCGGCAGGCCUAACACAUGCAAGUCGAGCGGUAGCACAGAGAGCUUGCUCUCGGGUGACGAGCGGCGGACGGGUGAGUAAUGUCUGGGAAACUGCCUGAUGGAGGGGGAUAACUACUGGAAACGGUAGCUAAUACCGCAUAAUGUCGCAAGACCAAAGUGGGGGACCUUCGGGCCUCAUGCCAUCAGAUGUGCCCAGAUGGGAUUAGCUUGUAGGUGGGGUAACGGCUCACCUAGGCGACGAUCCCUAGCUGGUCUGAGAGGAUGACCAGCCACACUGGAACUGAGACACGGUCCAGACUCCUACGGGAGGCAGCAGUGGGGAAUAUUGCACAAUGGGCGCAAGCCUGAUGCAGCCAUGCCGCGUGUGUGAAGAAGGCCUUCGGGUUGUAAAGCACUUUCAGCGGGGAGGAAGGCGUUAAGGUUAAUAACCUUGGCGAUUGACGUUACCCGCAGAAGAAGCACCGGCUAACUCCGUGCCAGCAGCCGCGGUAAUACGGAGGGUGCAAGCGUUAAUCGGAAUUACUGGGCGUAAAGCGCACGCAGGCGGUCUGUCAAGUCGGAUGUGAAAUCCCCGGGCUCAACCUGGGAACUGCAUUCGAAACUGGCAGGCUAGAGUCUUGUAGAGGGGGGUAGAAUUCCAGGUGUAGCGGUGAAAUGCGUAGAGAUCUGGAGGAAUACCGGUGGCGAAGGCGGCCCCCUGGACAAAGACUGACGCUCAGGUGCGAAAGCGUGGGGAGCAAACAGGAUUAGAUACCCUGGUAGUCCACGCCGUAAACGAUGUCGAUUUGGAGGUUGUGCCCUUGAGGCGUGGCUUCCGGAGCUAACGCGUUAAAUCGACCGCCUGGGGAGUACGGCCGCAAGGUUAAAACUCAAAUGAAUUGACGGGGGCCCGCACAAGCGGUGGAGCAUGUGGUUUAAUUCGAUGCAACGCGAAGAACCUUACCUGGUCUUGACAUCCACAGAACUUUCCAGAGAUGGAUUGGUGCCUUCGGGAACUGUGAGACAGGUGCUGCAUGGCUGUCGUCAGCUCGUGUUGUGAAAUGUUGGGUUAAGUCCCGCAACGAGCGCAACCCUUAUCCUUUGUUGCCAGCGGUCCGGCCGGGAACUCAAAGGAGACUGCCAGUGAUAAACUGGAGGAAGGUGGGGAUGACGUCAAGUCAUCAUGGCCCUUACGACCAGGGCUACACACGUGCUACAAUGGCAUAUACAAAGAGAAGCGACCUCGCGAGAGCAAGCGGACCUCAUAAAGUAUGUCGUAGUCCGGAUUGGAGUCUGCAACUCGACUCCAUGAAGUCGGAAUCGCUAGUAAUCGUAGAUCAGAAUGCUACGGUGAAUACGUUCCCGGGCCUUGUACACACCGCCCGUCACACCAUGGGAGUGGGUUGCAAAAGAAGUAGGUAGCUUAACCUUCGGGAGGGCGCUUACCACUUUGUGAUUCAUGACUGGGGUGAAGUCGUAACAAGGUAACCGUAGGGGAACCUGCGGUUGGAUCACCUCCUUACCUUAAAGAA
rnacentral:rRNA from 1 species